AUAUAAAGCUCCAUUAAUUGAAAAUGGCAUUUGUUUGGGUGCAGUGGGGGGAGCAGAGAUGUUGUUAAAAUUGGGAUGAGUGAAAUCGCAUUGUGUAUCAAAGUUUUAGAUAUGAAGAAACAGAGUGGAUGACACGAAGAUUGUUAGAGAGUCAAAACAAUGUGAGAGAACUUGCAACAAUUUCAGGUCCUGUUUACAGACUGGCAAAUAAUUCUGAUUUUUACAUACCCCUGAGAAGAUGUUGGGGACAGCCAAGGGGUCCUUGGAGCACAUUUUGAGCUACACUGCCAAUGUACUAGAGCCGAAUAUAUGUUAAAAAUAAAGACUAAUACUUUGA